AUUGAACGCUGGCGGAAUGCUUUACACAUGCAAGUCGAACGGCAGCACGGACUUCGGUCUGGUGGCGAGUGGUGAACGGGUGAGUAACAUAUCGGAACGUAUCCAAUAAUGGGGGAUAACUAAUCGAAAGGUUGGCAAUACCGCAUACGCCCUACGGGGGAAAGCAGGGGAUCUUCGGACCUUGCGUUAAUGGAGCGGCUGAUAUCUGAUUAGCUAGUUGGUGAGGUAAAGGCUCACCAAGGCGACGAUCAGUAGCUGGUCUGAGAGGAUGACCAGCCACACUGGAACUGAGACGCGGUCCAGACUCCUACGGGAGGCAGCAGUGGGGAAUUUUGGACAAUGGGCGCAAGCCUGAUCCAGCCAUUCCGCGUGAGUGAAGAAGGCCUUCGGGUUGUAAAGCUCUUUCGCAAGGGAAGAAAACUUACUUUCUAAUAAAGAGUGAGGUUGACGGUACCAUGAUAAGAAGCACCGGCUAACUACGUGCCAGCCGCCGCAGUAA
rnacentral:rRNA from 1 species